rnacentral:rRNA from 1 species
UACGUAGGGGGCAAGCGUUGUCCGGAUUUAUUGGGCGUAAAGAGCUCGUAGGUGGUUUGGUAAGUCGGAUGUGAAAUCUCCAGGCUCAACCUGGAGGGGUCAUUCGAUACUGCCAUGACUAGAGGUCGGUAGGGGAGUGUGGAAUUCCUGGUGGAGCGGUGAAAUGCGCAGAUAUCAGGAAGAACACCCGUGGCGAAGGCGGUUCUCUGGGACGGUACUGACGCUGAGACGCGAAAGCUAGGGGAGCAAACGGG